UUUAAAGUACUCAGGAUUUUGCCAUUAGAUUCUGCUCAUUUCAAGACCCUGGCUUUUUGGUUUGGGGCCGGGUUUCACAUCUCCUCUUUGAGGACUUUGUCACUUCCAGUCUUCUGGUUUUAGACACGUAACUUUUCUUGUGGUGCCAGCUUAACAUUCUAGAGCAGUUCAACCUUCAGAGAGGUGGCCAACUACCUAGAUGGAUUUAAUGUAAUGUUGUAUUUCCAAGGUGUUCUUGUGUGUGUUUUCCAAGGUGAUUUCCUCAGUGUUUUACUUCAGAGGUGGCGUUUGCGUUCGCGUGGACCGUCCGUCAUCUGUGGGUUCACAGUGCGCUCACUUCCACAGCUGGCACUCUGGUCUCCUGGAGGUGCCACAGUGAGCAGCAGUGCAGAGUCCAGCGUGGGAGACCGGCGUGUGAACAGGUAGACGACGGCUCUGUCUGAUGAGUCGUCUGGCAGUAGAGAGUUGGAGGAGAGACACCUUAGACGUCAUCCAAGUCACACAUAGGAGAAAGCGAAAGUCCAGGCUGAAGGCAGCUAGGUAGCGGGGUCCCUGGGGGCCCCCUCCUGACCCCUCACCAAGUCCUGGACUCCUGUAUGGCCGUGGGGCCCGGCUGUGGUGUGUGCAGAGUUGGCCAAGGCACUGUACCCUCCAGCACACGGUGUGUCCCCUCCGUGUGGUUUCUCGCCCUCCUGUCCCAUCCGUUUACCAGACUGCAUCCUGGCUUUUGGUAAAUCACAGCUAAAAAUCACUUGAGGACCUGGGCUCUUGUGCUCAGUCAUGUCCAACUCUGCGGCCCCAUGGCGUGUAGCCCACCAGGCUCCUCUGUCUAAGGGAUUUUACAGCUAAAAAAUAGUGGAAUGUGUUGCCAUUUCCUCCUCCAACGGGAUCUUCCUGACCCAGGGAUCGAACGCACAUCUACUGUGUCUCAUGCGUUAACAGGCAGCUUCUUUACCACAGAACCACUUGGGAAGCCCUUGGACCUGACACCGGGCUUUUAAAAAAGCUCACUUUCCUCUCUCCUUUUCAACUCAUUAAGCAAUAAAGUUUCACAGCCCAGCCCAAUCUACCCCUCAGGUCUUGUCUCUGAGGAGGUAAAAGACCAUCUAUUAACAGCUGUUUAUCCAUUUCUCCUCAGCAGUCAAGUUGACAAGGGGUCGGCAUAGAAUUCCCUAUUCUGACCAUGUGGAAGGCGAAUGUUCUGACUGUUCUUGGAAUCAGACCUAAUACCACUGAGAGCCACUGGAUGUUAGGAGUUGAGUGGGUCCAAAAUUGAUUUUUUCAAGUUGCCCUCAUCGUGAGUUUUAGAGUUGGGGCCUUCAAGUGAUUGGAGGGAGGGAGGGAAGGUGCUCGAAGACAGGUUCAAGGUUGUCCUGAUGACCCUGGAGCACCUACCGGGCGUGCUUCCUAGGAUCCCUGCCAGGGUCACUUGCCAUUUUCUGACUUGGAAAUGUUAACCACGAUGUCUUCAAAACCAGUUCCCAGAUUAGGGAAAGUAGACAACUUUGAGUGUUCUGUUACACUCGGGCUACUGGUUCAAAGCAGUUCAGCACAUGCAAACCAAAAGUUCUCAAUCUUGGCUCCACUAAGAAUCACAGGGGAACCUUUAAAAAUAUCAGUUGCCCACCAGUUGCUUUUCUAUGGCUUGUGUUCAAUGUGCCCUGUUUUCAAACGACAGGGGAAAAGCUUAGAGAAUUUCCAGUCUGCUCCUGGAAAACAGUCGAGAAGACCACUUUCUCUCUAAGUCAUCAGACUCCUGCUGGUUCUUCAAAGCCCAGUGCCCACUGUCCACACAGCCUUCAUUUGUCUAGCCUGACCGCCAGCGGUCCAUUCCCCUCGGCUCUUACAGGCUCUGCCGCCUUGGUUAAUAAUGCUCAUUGCUUGUCAUCUUUUCAUGUGUCCAUACGUUUCGCUUCCCAUGUGAGCUGGGGAACUCUUCCCGGGCAGGAGUCACAGUGGUACCCCAGAACUGCCUCUCCCGGUGAAACGUCUGACCCUGAAGCUGCUCCUGCCCACAACAGACUCCUGCCUGUGCUGUGCAGGGCUGCUUCUGAAUCCUGGGGUUAGAGGAGGGGAGCAUGAACAAAAAAAAUCCGUAAGAUCAAAUUUCUCCUCUCAGAGAAUCAAAUCCUGACCGCCAGCCGCAGCAGGAGGUAGCACUUCUGGUAGCUCAGUGUACAAAGUACAUGGAGAGAACAGACGAGGGAGCUCCAGGUCCGUGUUUCCUCCUCGCUUUCCAGAUGCUAACAGGAGCUUUGGUGGACUCUUCAGGAGUCUAAAACCAAACUCUUAAAGUCUCCUUCUCCCCCCAUCACUUAACUGCAUGACUGGCUGUGCUGCCCAAGCCAGAAAUCUUAGUUGAUCGCAGAGUCUUAAAAGUGUCCCUGAGUGCUUGUGAAAUCCUGCUCCUCUUGAGGCAUCCUGUUGCAAGCUGUGCUCCCGUGAGCCAGCCUCUCAUCUGGGGCAGGGGGGCUGCAAACACAGUAAAUGUUUUUGGCUUUACAGACCACGUGGUCUCUCCCAGCUAUUCAGCUCUGCCCUUGCAAGGCAAAAAUGGCCAUAGACAGUAGUUAAAGUAAGCAUGUCUGUUCCGAUAAAACUUUAUUUACACAAACAGCCAGUGGGCCAGAUUUGGCUGUUGAGGCCAUAGGUGCCAAGCGCUGGACUACAGCUUGUAAAGCCUUAAUGCGGCUCUGCCAGAGGUGACUUUCUAGAAUGGCUCCUGAUGGUGCCGCACGCUUGCUUAAACACCUGCAUGGCUCCCUGGGGCCCCAGAGACCCGUGCAGCCGAGGCCUGUGAGCAGUGAAAGCUUCAAUCUCCCGUUUGUAAAGUGGAUGCAGCGAUGCAUGUCCACCUCGUGGCCGCUAGAUGUGUGAAGACGCUGGGUGCUGUCUCUAGAAAGGCUCUAGCCUUAGGAAGACAGUCGCUGCUCUUUGCCAUCUGAUUGCCAACCCAGAGUUGGACACGCACAGACCAGAAGUUGAAGGGUAGAGCUGUGCUAACAAAAUCUGUUGAUGUAUAAAAUACAAGGUAAUCCCAGGUAGCUAAACUCUUCCCGACUGGCAUAUUUUUACGUUGCUGUGUGUCUAUUGCCCAGGAAAUACCAUCUGUGACUGUGAAACCAAAAUGCUAUUCUCGUGGGAAAGCUCACAGAUGCCCUAUACAUUUUCCAUAAUUAAAAUCUGGCUCCCUCCAUAGAUGCCAUUGCUAACAUGUUAACCUGAGCUUGGCCCCCUUGGCUCCUGACGGGGCACGGUGAGGCUAGGCCUGGAAAGGCAGCCUGGAGUUUUCCCCGAGUCAGUGACACUCCACCUUGGGUCGAAUCUGUUUACUCCUUGGGUUUCUGAGAAGCAGUAAAGCACCGUGACACGUCUCCGCCUCGUGGAUCGCUUAUAUAUUCUGACACCACCUGCUCAUCAGUCGAUAGCAGAAUUGCCUUGCACUCCAGACUGAGGGGGCUUCAUGAAGUGGAAUGGAGGAGUGGCUUACGGUGUUUAUUAGUAGGUGCUAGACAAAAGCCUCGCCUCUGGGCAUCCCGUUGCAUGCCAGCUCCCUGCAGCCAGGAAUACUGAUGACUGGAGUGCGCUCUCAGAGCCGCCUCCAUUUUCCCAUGGCCCGGGAAGCCCUGAGACCACUCAGCCUGCUGAGAGGGGCUGUCGGUGCAUCCCAUCCACGCUGUUCUGUAGCUAUCGCUCCAGAAAGAUCCUUCUCGGAGAAGUACACUGUAGGAUGGGGCUUCUACCAAGGAAGGCUGGAGGAAGGCUGAGGAUCAGGCCCAGAACAGCCGUUCAUUUGUGUAGAUCAGAGGGUGGCAGAUGUUUUCUAUGAAGGGUCACGUCGUAUUUCAUAAAUAUUCGGCUUUGUGGGCCAUGCAGUCUCUGUUGCAGCUACUCAAUUCUGUCUUUGUAGCUCGAAAGCAGCCUCAGAUGUUGUGCAGAUGAAUGGGUGUGGCUGGGUUCCAAUAAAACUUUAUUUGCACAAACAGGUGGUGGGCUGGGAUCUGGUCCUAGGGCCAUAGUUUGCCAAUCUCUAGAUUCUUGCCCCACCCUCACCCCCACCCCCCACCCCCCACCAAAACAGUCAACAUUUAAUAGUGUCUGUCAGGCAUCGUUCUAAGCACAGCAUGUAAAUGGCCUCCUUUAAUCUUCACUACCACUGGCUCAGUGGUAAAGAAUCCCCCUGCAAUGCAGGAGAUGUGGGUUCAAUCCCUGGGUCGGGAAGAUCCCCUGGAGAAGGAAAUGGCAACCCACUCCAGUAUGCUUGCCUGGGAAAUCCUACGGACAGAGAAGCCUGGAAGGCUACAGUGCGUGGGGUCUCAAAAGAGUCGGACAUGACUUAGCGACUGAACAGCAACCACCCUAUGAAAUAGGUGCUGUUAUCGCCCCCUUUCACAGAUGAUGACAUUGAGGCCCAGAUAAGUGUAAUUUUGCUAGGUGGUAUUACGGAAAGCAGCGGUGCCAGGGAUCUUACCCACAGGCCACUGUGGAGUCAUGCACAACCUCUGCCCAUCACCCCGUGUCUCCCUGUGUUUGAGAGCUGCAAGGUUCCACGCCUGUGCCAUAUACUAAGGGCUGACAAGGAGCGGCCACAAUGAUAAUUCUACUGAGGACGCUCAUGUUCUCAAACACCACUUAGGAGCAAACUUCCACGACCAAUUCUUCCCAGCACUCAGAGCCAAGAAAGCAGUUCUUCCUGAACAGUGCUGGGUUUCCCCCCCAGUCUAGGAUGUCAGGAAACUCCCGUGCGGCAUUUUAUGUCCAAACUGAGGCCACCUCUUCAGGCAGGCUUCCUAGCAUCACUCCACCCACACCCGCCCAGUCCCCCUGGCCACCCCUCCUACUUGAACUUUGAGACGCGUUGUGGCGUUGAGGGCCUGUGCCCGCACCUCCUGGGUGGAAGUCCCCUCAAACUCCUUGGGGGAAAGGUUUGGUGAUAAUUCUGACAUACGUAGAAACCCAAUGUCUGCCCCGUCGAGGUGAGGAGUCAGAACUGCAGUCUCCAGCUGCGGGUAGUCUGAAGGCCCAUGGCCCUGGAGGGGGAGGCCACCAGGGUGGUUUUGUCAGCGUGGUGGAACUUGGGGUAGUUUCUUUUCCUCCGAGAACUGUCCUCAGUAUCUCGCUUUACAGAAGACUCUUACCUGAAGCUAUCCCUGUGAGGCCUGGGACCUUGCGAGCACUUCCCCGUGUGCACACCCGGCCGUGCCUUCUCUCACUGCGGCAGGAAUUUUCGCUUCGGCAUCUGGUGGCCCAUGAGAUCACCCCUUUCCCUAGGCGUGUGCCAGAAAUCCGUCGGUGGGGGGAUUGCAGGAUUCCUCCCGGCCCCUUCCAACCCAACAGGCUCAGAUUUUCCACUUGUGCGAUUGAGGUCAGCGCCUGCAUUCCGGCUGGCGAGCUCCCCACGCAUGCGAGCGCCAGGCCUCAGGCAGGGGCUUCUCAGACUCACCCUGGAAUUCGGCCCCCUCCUUGGCCCUCUCCCUCCUCCUCGCCGCCCUGGAUCCUGGGGCUGGGGGGGUGCUCUGUCGGAGACUGGGGACCGCCUGGCCCAGCCUUGGCUCUGGGCCACCAGGCUGACAUGCAGGCCCUGUGUUUGCUCGGGCCGAGAGUGAGUAUGGACGAGUCAUCUGGCCAGGCGAGGAACAGUGGGACUACUGUUGCUUGCCAAGAGCUCCGUUCCUGUCCUUGUCAGUCCGUCCACCAGAGAACGUGGAGGUCGUCAACCGUGACCACUGCCAUCGGGUUUACUAAUGGUCACUGCCGCUGUCUCUCUGCAUGUGGGGGCUUUGGCGUCCGCCGCCUGCAUCCCAAGCCUGACACGUCCACUUACUGAGCAAUGGGCCAACAAGUACGUCUUGGCCCCGAGCCUCACUGUCCUGCCAGUGAAGGCUGGGGUGAUAAUACCAAAGCGGGGCGUGGCCAGGAGACGUGAAUGUGUAAGCAAUGCGUGGAGACCUCUCCAGCACUGGAUUCGCCCUAGGGUUGGUCGACUCAUCAGCUAGGCGGACCAGCCAUCCUGGUUUGUCCAGGUAGAGGGGUUUCCUGGGAGGCUGGGCUUCGGGUUGUAAAACCAAGACAGUCCCGAGAAAACCACAACAGUUGGUUACCUUAUUCUCAGCCCCAAAUAUCAAUGUUCUUGAAGCUAAAAGCUUUCAUUUAAAAAUAAAUACAAAAGCCGAACCCAGAUCGUAUAGGAAACAGACAACCUUGCCUUGCAGCCUCGUGUGCCCCUAGCCUGCCUCUCUAGUUCCAGUCUGGGGAGGCCUGGCCCGGGGGCCUAGGACUGCUUUCCUCAGGCGGGAUGACCCAUCGCGGAGGGAGCGAAUCCCUUCCCCACCCUCUGCUCUAGCUCACUGGUCCACCCUAACACCACCCAGGAGGGAACAGGAAGUCCUCACACUUCCCACAGAUCAAGAAGCUGACCUCGGCUGACAAGAGGCAGUGCUUCCUGCGGCCAGGGCCUCUCUCCCCGAGCAGGUGGGUCAGGUCAUUCCUUCCAUCUUUGCUUCCAGGACAGAAGCCAACCUCCUCGUUCUGCACUGGCCCGGCACCCUCUUCAUCCUCACCCUCACCUCCAGCCACAUGUGCCUUUUUCCAGUUUCUGAGACCUAAGCCCCGGGGUGCCCGCCAAGUCUGGACACCCCCUUCCCUUCCCUGUUCAUCCUUCAACCUCAGCCUGGCGGGGGCGGGGGCCCGACCUCCCGACAAGGCCAACAUCCCUACCGUGUGCUGCCAUCUCCACCAAGCUGGGAGCUCCGUAAACGCAGGGACCAGGAGCACUGGCGGCAUUGGCCACUGAGAGCUCAGGGCCUCCCCACUGUCUGCCGCGGAGUCAUCCACGUGCCACAGAUCCGUUUGGAAUGCGUGGAGCCAGCAAGCCCCAGGUUUAACCCCUUCCUCUCACGCCUUUCCCACAGGGCUGCAGACAGGCUCUCUCGCAACCACUACCUGUUAACCCUUCCCCUUUGCCCUGCCUGCAGCCCGGCCGAGGCCGCGUCCCAGUUUAAGAGCUACCCCACCUCGCUCUCCUCCCCUCCUUUGCGAGGAAAUAUUUCUGUUUUAUGACUAACUCUGCUCCUCAUUUCUCUCGCGUUAUCUUAAUGAAUUAACUGGGUCCCCAUCGUUCCCCCGGGCCCCCCACGGUUUAUGAGCUGUACAGCAAUAUCUGCAAUCUUAGUCAACCCACACAGUUGUUGUGCUGGUUCCUAUUACAGUAAUUGGCAUAAACUUUAUUCUUUUGCAGAGAGAUUUUUUUUUGGCCCACUGAGACUGCAUAACCAUCUGCCAUAAAUUGAGACUAGUACGGCUUAUUUUGGUGAAUGCAAAAUUGGAUCCCAUUCUUUACUCUGUGGCUUGAUUCAACUUCCAGAUGGUUAAUCCACAUGAAGUAAUAGGAAUGCACCACAGCUCUGCUUAGCUGAAGAUGGAGACGUAAUAUUUAUUUGCUGAUGUGGAGGCCUCCGAACGCUGCCCUGUCGGGAUGUCGGUAUAAAACGCAGCGGCACAAAAAUGUCAGCUUGUCCACAGGAGCAACAGCGUUCCUCUGAGUUGCCAUGGGGGAUCCCCGAUGUCCUUUUUUUUUUUUUCUUCCUGGUCUGCCCUUGACCUAAUCUCAAGAGGUUUUGUUCUCUCCUGGGCUGUUUCUUAUCAGCUAUGUCUGCCCACGGAGCCGGCUUCGCAUCUGCUUUGACUUUAGUGCCUGUGACAUUUUCAUUAAUACUUCUUCAAGGUUGAGCCUUGAUUCCAAAUAUCCUGCAGCUCACAGAAGCUGAAGCUAGCUGUGCCUGGCUGGGGCGCUGCUGGUGGUAUCAACAAGCUUGGACAUCUCCACCCAGUUAGGGUAAUCAAUCUGUUUUCAUCGUUAUUUCUCCCCCACACUAGCUUGCCACACUGGGGGAUGGGAUGCUCAGAUCUAGGUCAGCAGAUUCGGGAGGCUUAACCCUCAAUUGUGCUUCUACUCCCAGGAGUCUUGACUGCCCUGUCUGGCAGGAUUACACAUCCCCACCAGCCAACCCAGAUGGCUCAAUGGAAAAAGAACCCACCUUCCAAUGCAGGGAGUAUGGGUUCCAUUCCUGGGUCGGGAAGAUCCCCUGGAGAAGGAAAAGGCUAGCCACACAAGUAUUCUUGCCUGGGAAAGCCCAUGGACAGAGGAGCCUGGUGGGUUACAGUCCACGGGGUUGCAAAGAGUCGGACACAACUUAGCAACUAAACAACAACAACCAGCCAACUUUGCCCUUGCAAACUCGCUCUGGACUUCACAGCCUGGCCAUGUUCCCCACCCCAUCCCAGGGAAAACUGGGAACCCUCAAAUAUCCUGGGGCAGACUGGGGCUUAGGGCCUCCUCUCUGCACCUGCCCAGGUCCCUGAGAGCCACCUGCAUUUGAAUCACUGGAGGAUCACGUUAAAAAUGCAGACUCCUGGACUGAGGGAGACAGACUAUCCCAGUUUGCUCAGAACGACCCUAGUUUUAGCACAGGAAGUCCCAUGUCCUGGACUUUCCACAUCACCCUACUUGGGCCCCACCCCGGACCCCAGAAGAACUACUGCUGAGGACUCAGGCCGAGGGAUCCAAUUAUGAUCAGUUCCCUGUGGUGAUGGAGCACUUGAACUUGGGAAGCCCAAGUACCCUCAGGGCCCACGUUCCCUCACCUUGCCUGAGUGCAGCACACGACGCCCUUAUCACUUUCUUGAGUAGACUGUCUGCUUCCCUCAGUGUGAGCUCCUCAAGGGAAGGGCUCAGCCCAGUUUGCUUUUGCCUUCAGUUCCCAGCUCUCUGUCUGGCCCACAGUCGACACUCAGAUCGAGUGAAGAAAUAAUUGGAUGCAAGCAAAUAUCCACGGUAGGGAAAGUGACCCAGACCUGUUUCCCACGUACUCUUCCAAAGUUCUGGGGCAGACUCGAUUAGAAAUUAGAUCAAGGAAAUUCUAGAAGGGCAGGAAUUGGAUCUAGGAUAUUUUGUUAAGGGAGUGAAAACCUUGAACGUUCCAAGAUGGAACAAAUAAGGAAUUAGAUCUAAGAAAUUCUAAAGUGGAAAGGACUGGAACCAUGAACAUCCUAAGACAGAAUUGCUUUCUUCCUUAAUCAUCACGGGAGCUUCUGCAGGGAGAAAGAACAAGAGGCCAGAUGCCUUGUACCUGAUUAUCGAAGCCUAGCAUCACUUAGUGCUUUCAAAUGUUUAAAAUCUGCAGCUCCUCAAAUAAUCACAGCUGUGCAUGAGGAUGGACUCUUCUCUGACUUGCGUGUGAGGUCUCCAGGCCGGAUGAUGGGGACCAGGGAGCCUAGGAAAUGGGCUGAGCUGAGAGGAAGGAGUGGGAACCAGUGUUUGGCCCUGGCAGGAUCCCAGCAUCAAGAUCCUUCACGCCUCAACCUGGGCAGGGCUCGGCCAGCUGCCUCAACAAACGGAACCCAGCCCAGCCACCAUCCUCUCCCUGGACUGUUGCUCAAGACCUUCCUAACUGGCCCCUUUCUUCUCCCACAGAGAAACCAGAGUGGCUCUCUUAAGUGAUAAACUGUAUCAGCCCUUCUCUGCUCCAAGUCCUCCCGAGUGACUGACAGCCACUUGCUAGGCCCCAUCUAUGCCCACCCCUUCCCGCUCACCUCUCCACACUCCAGCCAAGCCGGCCUCCUGCGGGCCAGCUCUCCAACAUGCCGGGCCGCUCACCUUGGGCCUUUGCUGCUCCCGCUGCCUGGGACACGGCCCCCAGAGCCCCUCCCGACUCCCUCUCCUGCCUCUCUCAGAUGCCCUCACGUGCCCCCUCUCCACUCUAGGAGGCCUUCUCAAGCCACCGUACACAAAACAGCCCCCCCAGCCCAGCCCGUCUGCCGUAGCUCGGUACCCUUCGAGGCACUCACCACCACCUGCACCUGUGUGUCGUGUGUGCCUACUGCGUGUCUCUUCCCACUGGUCUACAAGAUCCACAAGAGCUCGUCUCACGAGGCCCUCCUGUGUGGUCUGUACUAGGUGCUCAGUAAGCACGUGCAAGUGACUCACCCCAGCAUUUCUCCCGUGUUAGAAGAGGCUGGUGACUCUCCGUGAACCGCAUGGUAGAUGCAAAGAUCACAGUAUAAACGAACAGGGCUGCCCAAAUGUAAUGAUGGCCAUUUGCGUCACUCCACCCCAGAGCGGCGAUUCUAGGGCAUUCUGUGUAAUUGGAGUACAAUUAAGCAUAUGGCAGUGUUUCCACCAGGCCAUAGAUCUGAUCCGGAGCCUCCCCGACGUGGGCUCUGGUUUCUUUCUUUUCCCUGUAACGACAAACCUGGAUGCAGCAUCAGGCAGGCCCUGUGGUCUGGGUCACAGGGGAAUACCGAGGAAUGAGAUUCAUGCUAACAAGAUUUAAUCCUGAGACGCUGGGCUAUAUAUCCAGUGGCGAUUUCCUGGAUUUUGCAGCCAACAUAAAUAACAGUGAGAGGAUUCCCGCUGCGUGACGUGAGGUUCGUCCUGCCGGUCUGGGCCAGGACGGACUGCUAUUGAUGGACAAGGCAGGGCCCCCUGACGGAAUCCAUGGAGCUGCACCCCACUGGCCCCCCUCCACCUCCACCCCCACCCCUGUAUCAGAUCGCUCUGUGAAGCAUGCUCAGGGUGAGGAGGCCAACAGCAGAGAUGAAAAUUAAGACACGUAUUUGGCACCCAGUCCAGCCGAGCAAUGAAAUCCCUCAUCUGUAUGUACAAAUCAUGAAUUUUCCAAUUGGACCAUGUGCUUCCUGGGGGUGAGGUCUGUACUGUGUAGGCAGCCAGCUUAUGGAAACUUGGAAGUCACCUUGGUGGCACCUCAUUUUCAUAAAAGGAAAUGAAGUAUGUGGUAGGGUAGCAUUAGAGAUAACUUACAUUGUGGAGAAAUGGACAGAUAAAAUAAGGGAUGUUCAUAAAAUGGAGUAGUAUACAGUAGUAAAAGGAGGGAGCAAGGAUGAACCUUUGAAAAUUUACACUGACGAAGAAAAUAAAAUGGCAAAUGAA